UGAGUAACGCGUGAGGAACCUGCCUUCCAGAGGGGGACAACAGUUGGAAACGACUGCUAAUACCGCAUGACACAUUUGAAUCGCAUGGUUUGAAUGUUAAAGAUUUAUCGCUGGAAGAUGGCCUCGCGUCUGAUUAGCUAGUAGGCGGGGUAACGGCCCACCUAGGCGACGAUCAGUAGCCGGACUGAGAGGUUGACCGGCCACAUUGGGACUGAGAUACGGCCCAGACUCCUACGGAAGGCAGCAG
rnacentral:rRNA from 1 species